CAGCGUCGAUGCGCCCGGGGGACACACCCGUUCCCAUCCCGAACACGACGGUUAAGACCCGAGCGGCCGAUGGUACUGCACUGGAGACGGUGUGGGAGAGCAGGUGGAUGCUGGAUU
rnacentral:rRNA from 1 species